rnacentral:rRNA from 1 species
GAUGAACGCUGGCGGCGUGCCUAACACAUGCAAGUCGAGCGAAGCACUUACUUUAGAUUUCUUCGGAAUGACGAAGUUUGUGACUGAGCGGCGGACGGGUGAGUAACGCGUGGGCAACCUGCUCUGUAUAGGGGGAUAACAGUUAGAAAUGUCUGCUAAUACCGCAUAAGCUCACAGCUUCGCAUGAAGCAGUGGGAAAAACUCCGGUGGUACAGGAUGGGCCCGCGUCUGAUUAGCUAGUUGGUAAGGUAACGGCUUACAAAGGCGACGAUCAGUAGCCGACCUGUGAGAGUGACCGGCCACAUUGAGACUGAGACACGGCCCAAGCUGCGACGAGAGGCAGCAGUGGGGAAUAUUGCACAAUGGGGGAAACCCGGAUGCAGCGACGCCGCGUGAUCGAUGAAGUAUUUCGGUAUGUAAAGCUCUAUCGGCAGGGAGGAAAGUGACGGUACCUGACGAAGAAGCCCCGGCUAACUACGUG